GUGGAUUAGAUACCCUGGUAGUCCACGCCGUAAACGGUGGGUGCUAGUUGUGGGCUCCAUUCCACGGAGUCCGUGACGAAGUUAACACAUUAAGCACCCCGCCUGGGGAGUACGGUCGCAAGACUAAAACUCAAAGAAAUUGACGGGGGCCCGCACAAGCGGCGGAGCAUGCGGAUUAAUUCGAUGCAACGCGAAGAACCUUACCAAGGCUUGACAUAUAGAGGAAACCUGCAGAAAUGUAGGCCCCGCAAGGUCUCUAUACAGGUGGUGCACGGCCGUCGCCAACU
rnacentral:rRNA from 1 species